GUAGGGUCGAACACCUUUUUGAGGGACCUUGAGGUGGAGCUGCUCUUGGCAAGCACCGAUGAAGGAUGAGUCCUACGCAAUGAAGACUUUUGAACCCCGUCAGGUCCGGAAGGAAGCAGCGGUAAGAAGGAACCUCCAUGUGCCGUGGGAGCGCUGAUCCCGAGGGAACUACCAAGAUUCCGUCCGGUUCAAGAUUUCGAUGAAGGCGCACGG
rnacentral:SRP_RNA from 1 species